AUUGAACGCUGGCGGCAGGCCUAACACAUGCAAGUCGAGCGGAUGAAGGGAGCUUGCUCCUGGAUUCAGCGGCGGACGGGUGAGUAAUGCCUAGGAAUCUGCCUGGUAGUGGGGGAUAACGUCCGGAAACGGGCGCUAAUACCGCAUACGUCCUGAGGGAGAAAGUGGGGGAUCUUCGGACCUCACGCUAUCAGAUGAGCCUAGGUCGGAUUAGCUAGUUGGUGGGGUAAAGGCCUACCAAGGCGACGAUCCGUAACUGGUCUGAGAGGAUGAUCAGUCACACGAGAAAGGAAACACGGUCCAGCCCCCUAGGGGGGGGGGCGGGGGGGAUUUUUGGACAGGGGGGGAAGGCCUGACCCAGCCGGGCGGGGUGUGGAGAAAGGGUUUUGGAUUUGUAAACCAUUUAAGGUGGGGGGAAGGGGAAGUAAGUAAAUCCCUUGUUUUUUUAACUUACCCAAAAAAAAAAGCACGGGCUAACUCCGUC
rnacentral:rRNA from 1 species